rnacentral:lncRNA from 1 species
AGCAUGGCCAGGGGCGGGGCUUCCCUGAGGCGCGCCGAGAGGCGGUGGCCCACUUCCGGCAAUAAUCGCCUGGUCGCCGUCAGGUGCCGGCCCAGGUGGCAGGCGCGCCCGUUGGGCACUGGGGGACGCGGGCGCGUCAGGUGAAGACUGGGGGCUGCAGGCGCGCUAGGAGAACUAUGCCAUUUUUGGGUCAGGACUGGAGAUCUCCUGGAUGGAGUUGGAUUAAGACAGAAGAUGGCUGGAAGAAUUGUGAAUCUUGUAGUCAGAAACUUGAAAGAGAGAAUAACCAUUGUAACAUCAGUCACAGCAUUAUCUUAAAUAGCGAAGAUGGAGAAAUACUCAAUAAUGAAGAGCAUGAAUAUGCAUCCAAAAAAAGAAAAAGGACCAUUUUAGAAAUGACACAAAUACUCAAAGUUUUUAUCAUGAAAAAUGGAUCUAUGUCCAUAAAGAAAGCACAAAAGAAAGGCAUGGCUAUUGCACCUUGGGAGAAACCUUUAAUCGGUUAGACUUCUCAAGUGCAAUUCAAGAUACCCGAAGGUUCAAUUAUGUGGUCAAAAUACUGAAACAAUUACUUGCUAAGAGCAAACUUGAAGGUAUGGAUAAGGCCCUGAGUCAUCUUCCUGAGCUGAAUGAUAGUUAAGCUGAAUUAACAAUUUGGACAAGACAGCAAAUGCUAUUGUCGAAGUUUUCUAAAGAAGAAUCUGAAGUGAAAUGACAUCAAGAGACCUAUCAAGACCUGUAUCCAGGAAAAGAGUCUUGCUCUUGUUGCCCAGGCUGGAGUGCAAUGGCGUGAUUUUGGCUCACUGUAAACUCCACCUCCUGGGUUCAAGUGAUUCUCCUGCCUCAGCCUCCCUAGUAGCUGGUAUUACAGGUGCCUGCCACCACACCCAGCUAAUUUUUGUAUUCUUAGUAGAGAUGGGGGUUUCACCAUGUUGGCCAGCCUGGUCCCGAACUCCUGACCUUAGGUGAUCCACCAGCAUCGGCCUCCCAAAGUGCUGGGAUUACAGGUGUGAGCCACUGCGUCCAGCCAGUGGUGGGUCUCAUAUCUCAAUGUGGACUUUUACUAACUCCCGAUGCCUCAGUUUCCUCAUCAGUUGAAAGGAAUGAAUGAAAGAUUUGUGUUUUUCAUAUUACCAGGUAGAUGAUAAGGAGAUUUU